AGCAAAGUUCCGCAGGGUGGGGAAAGCGCCCUCGCGGCAGGAGGCUGGAAAGCUGACCGCCGGAGAGUGGAAGCGGGACCAGGUCCCGAGUUGUACUGUCCGCCCCGCGCAGCCACCUGGGCUCGGGCGCCUUCCCACCGCGAGCAGGCGUUUCUGCGGCGGCUUUUUGGCGGGAGGGAUUCUGCUCCGGUUCGCUCACUUUCUGCGCCCGUCGGAGGCCGGUGGCAGCACAACACCGCGUCCUGGCCAAAGGACAAGUGGGUCUGGAGGGACUGGACGGAAAUGCACCCCAGCCCCGGAGACCCAGGUUAAAAGAUACUUUAUCUGUAAUCAUCACGCCUAAAAUGAAUGACCCAACUCCAGCUUUCCCCUAGCCAGAGACGGCAGAAGGAGGUAUCUGGAAGUCUGCAUGAAAACAGGUUAAACACUGAAGCUGUUUCUAUGAAAAAUAAAGAAAUGCACAACGCAAACGUCUGCCUAGCCUCCGUCAGUGGCACUCGCUUUACUUUUUCCAACACUAAUCCGUAACACGACGGAAUGCAGCUGCAGACCCAAUGAGACCGGCCCUCGGCUAGCCGCGACAGAUUAAGCGUCUCCUGGGCCCGGAGCUGACACGCGGCGCCUGGUCGACGAAGCUCAGCGACAGGUUCCACGGGGAACCCGCCGUCCAAACUGAGAACGCAAAGCAACGAAGCGACGGCUCCGUAUCCGCGGGGCAUCCCGGGGCACGGAAUCCCGGCGGGCCGCGGGGGAAAGGGCCGUUAGGGGGUCGCCCGGGCGGAGGCCAGACGGCGGCCCGGGCCCCUCCCAGCGCUCGGACGGCGGCCUCCACGCCCCGCGCCCCCGCAGACCCAGCGCGGGCCCCAGCGCCUCCAAACCCCGAACCGCCGCGCGACCCCGCCUCGGCCGCGGGCAGCGCGCCCGCACCUCCACGUCGAUGUCCAGGAAGCCGCCCUCGGCCACCUCGAAGAUGAGGCCCAUCUUGGUGCCCGAGGUGACCCGCUCGAAGAAGCACUCCUCGGCGUGCGCGUCGAUGCUGACGAAGUAGCCCGAAGCCGUGGCCAGAAGAGCGGCCAGGAGCACCAGCAGCUCGGCGAGCGUCACCAUGGUGGGGCUGGGGCCGAAGCCAGGACCGGGACCGCGGCCUCCAGAGCCGCCGCCGCCGCCACCGCUGCCUCCUCAGCCGCCGCCGCCUCUGCUCCGCCCCUUCCGGCUGCGCCACCCGAGGGGGCUGAUGCGGGCGCCGUGGAUUGGCGGGCGCCGGCAGCUGCCACGUAACGGACGCACGGCGGCCGCGGAGGGACAAGGCGGCUCCGCGCACCCCGAGCCUGGAUGGUGGCUCUGAAAGGCCAAACAUCGUUGUGCCCACCAUCAUCCCUUUCGCGCGCAAGCUAAGUUUCACGUGAACCACACCAGAAAGCGACAGUAUCAGGAAACCUCCCGCGCCCGGUGCGACGCCCUAAGAUUGUCUAAAGAGAUGGCGAAAACUUUGGAGGCAGCAACAGAAGGAUUAUUUCUUGAAAGACCAUCAGGCAAUAGGGGGCAGUAGUGGCCCAAUAUCCAGUUUCCCCGCUUCAGGUGUCAAAAAACAGGUGCAGGGCUUCCUUGACGGAACUCAAGAGCUCUAGUGAUGUCCCCUGACUCCCCGCUCUCCGGACUGUGUCAAAGGCCCUGCUUGUGCUAGCAGGUCAGUUCUGCUGUGUUAUUCUGGGAGCCCAGAGCCUGUUCCCUCCAGCCUCACUAACCCACUUAUAUGCCUCUCUUUCUCUGUAUUGAAGUUCUUCCUGCUUAUAAUACCUACAGUAGUUUCCUACUAAAAUGAAUUGAACUGGGGCGCCUGGGUGUCUCAGUCGGUUAAGCAACCGACUUCGACUCAG